rnacentral:lncRNA from 1 species
UCUCGGUUUCCAAAAGCAUUCAAAUGUGAUAAGCAAUAAAGAUAAUGAAAAGUAAUUUGGAGCACUAUAAAAAUUAACUGAUAUGAAUCCCGAAUCAAAAUCCUCUUUUAAAAAUAUCAUUUCAGAAAUUAAGUCGCCAAACUAAUGUGCGUAGAAAAUUGAGAACAGUGUUUCUGAUAAUUUAUCAAAAUACAGCUAGUGUUUUCUUCUUUGCAGGUUACUGUUUAUGGAAAAUCCGGAACAGCGAGCAGAAAUUUUAAAUACUGGUGUAAUCGUUUACUAAAUUGGAGCAGUGCUUAUUAUUACUAAAUUAUUUACUAAAUUUAAAUAUGGCUGAAGUGGAUGCUACUCAUCCAAUAACUCUUUACAGAGAUCUUUAAAAGUAAAGCUUGCAGUCCAAAAGGUUUCAGCUUCAAAGUACACCUUCGUGCAACAUGAUAGGCGAU